rnacentral:rRNA from 1 species
UACGGAUUGUGCAAGCGUUACUCGGAAUCACUGGGCGUAAAGCGCGCGUAGGCGGGGGAUUAAGUGAGAGGUGAAAGGCUGGGGCUCAACCCCAUGCAGUGCCUCUCAUACUGGUUUUCUUGAGGGCGGUAGGGAGAAGUGGAAUGGCUGGUGUAGCGGUGAAAUGCGUAGAUAUCAGUCGGAACACCGGUGGCGAAGGCGGCUUCUUGGGCCGUUCCUGACGCUGAGGCGCGAAAGCUGGGGGAGCGAACGGG